GGAACACCGUGGCACCUGACCACUGUCUACGGCCCGUGUGACGACGCUGAGAAGCUGUUGUUCCUCGAGGAACUAGCGGCGAUCCGUGCCCGCCGGUCGGGUCCCUGGCUCAUCCUCGGUGACUUCAACCUGGUCUACGAGGCAUGCGACAAGAGCAACUCGAACCUUAACCACUGCAUGAUGUCUAAGUUCCGGGCAGCGCUCAACGCUAGUGAACUGCGCGAGAUCCCAUUGCAUGGGCGCCGUUUCACCUGGUCUAACGAGCAGGACGAA
rnacentral:rRNA from 1 species